AUUCCUACGGGAGGCAGCAGUGGGGAAUCUCGGACAAUGGGCGCAAGCCUGAUCCAGCCAUGCCGCGUGAGUGAUGAAGGCCUUAGGGUCGUAAAGCUCUUUCGCCAGGGAUGAUAAUGACAGUACCUGGUAAAGAAACCCCGGCUAACUCCGUGCCAGCAGCCGCGGUAAUACGGAGGGGGUUAGCGUUGUUCGGAAUUACUGGGCGUAAAGCGCGCGUAGGUGGUUUGGUAAGCGAGAUGUGAAAGCCCCGGGCUUAACCUGGGAACGGCAUUUCGAACUGUCAGACUAGAGUGUGGUAGAGGGUAGUGGAAUUUCCUGUGUAGCGGUGAAAUGCGUAGAUAUUCGGAGGAACACCAGUGGCGAAGGCGGCUCACUGGCUCGAUACUGACGCUGAGGUGCGAAAGUGUGGGGAGCAAACAGGAUUAGAUACCCUGGUAGUCCACACCGUAAACGAUGAAUGCCAGUCGUCGGGUAGCAUGCUAUUCGGUGACACACCUAACGGAUUAAGCAUUCCGCCUGGGGAGUACGGUCGCAAGAUUAAAACUCAAAGGAAUUGACGGAAU
rnacentral:rRNA from 1 species